rnacentral:rRNA from 1 species
GACGAACGCUGGCGGCGUGCUUAACACAUGCAAGUCGAACGGAAAGGCCCUGCUUUUGUGGGGUGCUCGAGUGGCGAACGGGUGAGUAACACGUGAGUAACCUGCCCUUGACUUUGGGAUAACUUCAGGAAACUGGGGCUAAUACCGGAUAGGAGCUCCUGCUGCAUGGUGGGGGUUGGAAAGUUUCGGCGGUUGGGGUUGGACUCGCGGCGUAUCAGCUUGUUGGUGGGGUAGUGGCUUACCAAGGCUUUGACGGGUAGCCGGCCUGAGAGGGUGACCGGCCACAUUGGGACUGAGAUACGGCCCAGACUCCAACGGGAGGCAGCAGUGGGGAAUAUUGCACAAUGGGCGGAAGCCUGAUGCAGCAACGCCGCGUGCGGGAUGACGGCCUUCGGGUUGUAAACCGCUUUCGCCUGUGACGAAGCGUGAGUGACGGUAAUGGGUAAAGAAGCACCGGCUAACUACGUG